UUAAGUUCAGCGGGUAUCCCUACCUGAUCCGAGGUCAACCGUGAGAUGGAGAUUCUGGCAAGCAACCACCGGACUCAAUAGCGGGAAAGUUACUACGCUUAGAGCCAGGCGGCACCGCCACUGAUUUUAAGGGCCGCGAAACCGCGAACCCCAACACCAAGCCAGGCUUGAUUGGUUAUAAUGACGCUCGAACAGGCAUG
rnacentral:misc_RNA from 1 species